rnacentral:rRNA from 1 species
UGGGGAAUCUUGCGCAAUGGGCGAAAGCCUGACGCAGCGACGCCGCGUGAGGGAAGAAGGCCUUCGGGUUGUAAACCUCUUCAGGAGGGACGAAGCCACUCGGGUGAAUAGCCCAGAGGGUGACGGUACCUCCAGAAGAAGCCCCGGCUAACUACGUGCCAGCAGCCGCGGUAAUACGUAGGGGGCAAGCGUUGUCCGGAUUUAUUGGGCGUAAAGAGCGUGUAGGCGGCCACACAGGUCCGCUGUGAAAAUCUCGAGGCUCAACCUCGAGCUGUCGGUGGAAACCGUGUGGCUAGAGUCCGGAAGAGGAGAGUGGAAUUCCCGGUGUAGCGGUGAAAUGCGCAGAUAUCGGGAAGAACACCCGUGGCGAAGGCGGCUCUCUGGGACGGUACUGACGCUGAGACGCGAAAGCGUGGGGAGCGAACAGGAUUAGAUACC